AUGGAGUUGUUACCUUUAGGAAGUCGCCUCUGUACCGAAAAGCAUGCAACUAGGGUUCUUGAUUUGUCGAAGAUCGCAUUUGGAAGGAAACAAAAACCUGCUGCCAGUUCCCAUGAUAAGAGUUACCCCAUGGGUUCUGUGCUUAUCAGUGCAUUGCGUCUUGUUGAUGUCUUUUCUGACGAUUCAAACUUCAGGUCUUAUUUCAUAACUAAUACUAUUCCCUUUCUGACACAAGUUCUGGCGACUCCUCAUGAUGAGUUUGUCUUGAGUUGGUGCUCUGUCGAUCUGCCGGUGAUGGAAGAUGACGCUAAUCUGGAUUAUGAUCCAUUUGGUGCAGCUGACCUGGCACUGUUAGCUGCUUCAAAUAUGCUGACUGAAGCUAAAGUUAACCAUUCAUGCCAUUUUCGCUCUACCAGCAUGCCUUCAAUACAAUAUGCACAGACAAGAACAUCAUGUGUGGUGAAAAUAAUAGCAAAUUUGCACGUCAUUGUUCCAAACAUAUGUGAAGGAUCUUUGUGCCAUUAUGCUAAAUCAUUAAUCCCUGGUAACUUGUUAAAUGAGGAAGAUGUGAACCUAUUAAGUGAUUUUUCUUUUAAGUUACAUCACUGGUGUGAAUCGCACGUUGGACCGGGAACAUCGCAGUGUCCUCAAGCAAAUUCACAUUCUUUUGUAUGGUUGGUGUGA
rnacentral:rRNA from 1 species